GUCGAGGGGCAUCGGGGGUAGCAAUACCUGCCGGCGACCGGCGCACGGGUGAGUAACACGUAUGCAACCUGCCUCAAACAGAUGGAUAACCCGGAGAAAUUCGGACUAAUAUAUCAUAGCACAGUGUAUCCGCAUGGGUAUAUUGUUAAAGGAGCAAUCCGGUUUGAGAUGGGCAUGCGUUUCAUUAGUUAGUUGGCGAGGUAACGGCUCACCAAGGCGACGAUGAAUAGGGGUUCUGAGAGGAAGGUCCCCCACACUGGUACUGAGACACGGACCAGACUCCUACGGGAGGCAGCAGUGAGGAAUAUUGGUCAAUGGUCGAGAGACUGAACCAGCCAUGCCGCGUGCAGGAAUACAGCCCUAUGGGUUUUAAACUGCUUUUGUACGAGGGUAAAACGAGGCACGUGUGCCUUCUUGCAAGUAUCGUACGAAUAAGGAUCGGCUAACUCCGUGCCAGCAGCCGCGGUAAUACGGAGGAUUCGAGCGUUAUCCGGAUUCAUUGGGUUUAAAGGGUGCGUAGGUUGUUUAUUAAGUCAGCGGUGAAAAGGAGAUGCUUAACAUUUCCCGUGCCGUUGAAACUGAUAGACUUGAAUAAUGUUGAAGUAAGCGGAAUGCGCAGUGUAGCGGUGAAAUGCAUAGAUAUUGCGCAGAAGGUCGAUUGCGAAGGCAGCUUACUAAACAUAUAUUGACACUGAGGCACGAAAGCGUGGGGAUCAAACAGGAUUAGAUACCCUGGUAGUCCACGCUGUAAACGAUGAUAACUCGCUGUCGGCGAUAUACAGUCGGUGGCCAAGCGAAAGCGAUAAGUUAUCCACCUGGGGAGUACG
rnacentral:rRNA from 1 species